rnacentral:rRNA from 1 species
CGGGCUUAACACAUGCAAGUCGAGGGGCAGCAUGGUCUUUGCUUGCUAAGGCCGAUGGCGACCGGCGCACGGGUGAGUAACGCGUAUCCAACCUGCCUUACACUCUUGGACAGCCUUCUGAAAGGGAGAUUAAUACAAGAUGUUAUCAUGAGUAAGCAUUUUCGCAUGAUUAAAGGUUUACCGGUGUAAGAUGGGGAUGCGUUCCAUUAGAUAGUAGGCGGGGUAACGGCCCACCUAAUCUUCGAUGGAUAGGGGUUCUGAGAGGAAGGUCCCCCACAUUGGAACUGAGACACGGUCCAAACUCCUACGGGAGGCAGCAGUGAGGAAUAUUGGUCAAUGGACGAGAGUCUGAACCAGCCAAGUAGCGUGAAGGAUGAAGGUUCUAUGGAUUGUAAACUUCUUUUAUACGGGAAUAAACGAAUCCACGUGUGGAUUUUUGCAUGUACCGUAUGAAUAAGGAUCGGCUAACUCCGUGCCAGCAGCCGCGGUAAUACGGAGGAUCCGAGCGUUAUCCGGAUUUAUUGGGUUUAAAGGGAGCGUAGAUGGGUUGUUAAGUCACUUGUGAAAGUUUGCGGCUCAACCGUAAAAUUGCAAUUGAUACUGGCAGACUUGAGUACAGUUGAGGUAGGCGGAAUUCAUGGUGUAGCGGGGAAAUGCUUAGAUAUCACGAACAACUCCGAUUGCGAAGGCAGCUUACUAACCUGUAACUGACAUUGAUGCUCGAAAGUGUGGGUAUCAAACACGAUUACAUAACAUGCUAGUCCUCACGGUAAACACUGCAUCUGAUACUGGCAAGCAUGAGUCUCGUAGAGGGAGGUAGAAUUCCAGGUGUAGCGGUGAAAUGCGUAGAGAUCUGGAGGAAUACCGGUGGGCGAAGGCGGCCCCCUGGACGAAGACUGACGCUCAGGUGCGAAAGCGUGGGGAGCAAACAGGAUUAGAUACCCUGGUAGUCCACGCCGUAAACGAUGUCGACUUGGAGGUUGUGCCCUUGAGGCGUGGCUUCCGGAGCUAACGCGUUAAGUCGACCGCCUGGGGAGUACGGCCGCAAGGUUAAAACUCAAAUGAAUUGACGGGGGCCCGCACAAGCGGUGGAGCAUGUGGUUUAAUUCGAUGCAACGCGAAGAACCUUACCUGGUCUUGACGUCCACAGAACCCUGUAGAGAUACGGGGGUGCCUUCGGGAACUGUGAGACAGGUGCUGCAUGGCUGUCGUCAGCUCGUGUUGUGAAAUGUUGGGUUAAGUCCCGCAACGAGCGCAACCCUUAUCCUUUGUUGCCAGCGGUCCGGCCGGGAACUCAAAGGAGACUGCCAGUGAUAAACUGGAGGAAGGUGGGGAUGACGUCAAGUCAUCAUGGCCCUUACGACCAGGGCUACACACGUGCUACAAUGGCGCAUACAAAGAGAAGCGACCUCGCGAGAGCAAGCGGAUCUCAUAAAGUGCGUCGUAGUCCGGAUUGGAGUCUGCAACUCGACUCCAUGAAGUCGGAAUCGCUAGUAAUCGUGGAUCAGAAUGCCACGGUGAAUACGUUCCCGGGCCUUGUACACACCGCCCGUCACACCAUGAGAGCCGGGGGGACCCGAAGUCGGUAGUCUAACCGUAAGGAGGACGCCGCCGAAGGUAAAACUGGUGAUUG